rnacentral:rRNA from 1 species
UACGUAGGGUGCAAGCGUUGUCCGGAAUUAUUGGGCGUAAAGAGCUCGUAGGCGGUCUGUCACGUCGGAUGUGAAACUCGGGGCUCAACCCCGAGCCUGCAUACGAUACGGGCAGACUUGAGUUCGGCAGGGGAGACUGGAAUUCCGUGGUGUAGCGGUGAAAUGCGCAGAUAUCAGGAGGAACACCGGUGGCGAAGGCGGGUCUCUGGACAGUUCCUGACACUGAGGCACGAAGGCCAGGGGAGCAAACGGG